GAAUUCUUCGUGCUGCUUGGCGAGAGACACUGUGCGUCUUUUCUUUUCGAUUGGAAUUUUUCAAUUGAGGGCUUCGGAAUAAUUGGAUCUGAUAUUAAGACAAAGGGAAGAGAACAAAUCGCAAUGAUAUGGAAAUUUGUAGGAUUGUUGGUUGCCAUGGUAACGAUGGGCGCCAUCUUGGCUGAAACCUCCUACCACAAGAUAGAUGACAGAAUAGACAAAUAUAUGUAUGGAUUCCCGUCUUUUUGCUCCUGGGACCAAAUGUGCAAGUCCGCCUACAAGAAUUAUUUCGAAUGUAAGUGUCCUUCAUACAGACCUUUCUGCACUAGCCAGGGAACGUAUUACGAUGCCAUGUGCGCCCCGAGGUAUGCUCUUAGCUGGAUGAUCUGGCUGCAGCCGCACCAGGGCACGGCGGAUCUGGAGUGAGUUGUAUUUGGGCGAUCGCCGCGUUGACAUCUUGCUUUGACUUGAUCAAUAGCGCAAGGGAAUUUUUGUGAUCGUCGCAAGGAAUGCUUCGCUCGACUUGGUCAUUAGCGUGAGAGGAAGGACAGGGAGAUACCUGUAAAACAACAUGUUUCGUAUUCUUAGAAACAGCUUUGAUAAUGGUAUGGAAAUGUUCGCGUUUCGUUGAGUGUUUUUCUGACAGAGCAGCAUGGUCAAAGGGUUUUGCAUUUGCCUGAAAAAUCUCCAAGCCGGGUGCAAAAUUGUGUUUAAGAGAACAGACUCCCACCCUUCAAGUUGGCAUUCACCUCAUUUUGAAGGAGUUCUAAUUGCUUUAGGAUAUCAAGUUCUAGCCAAAAUUGCGGUGCCUACAUGUAUGAUGGUCAACCCUUUAAAAACCCUUGAAGGCUUUUAAGAAGUGUAUGUGCUCUAAAUCUCUGACAGUCAUCACGUGGCCUCUUUGUAGACCAAAUACCAUAAUCCGUUGUAAUUCAACAGGACCGGACACUUUUUCCCGCAGGACAUUUCUACUUUUACAACGGAACGUGGCCGGAUAUGAAAGUUCUCUCGAACUCAAAAUGUACAGCAUUUGACAUGAAUCAGUCCAUACAUCCAUUACUGUGCGAUCUUGCAGAAUCAGACGGAAAAUAAUAAUUUGUGUAAAGAAAUAAUUUAUUCCUUGAGUUGUUAGAGAAGGUUUAUUUCGAUUUAAUAUGUUCCGGAUUUUAUAGUCUUUACUCAUUAUCAGUUAAAACGUCGCCAAGUUGACGUACGUAGUCAACGGUUUUAACGCUUUGGGCUACCAUUUAUGUACAUGUACAUGUAGUCCGUACACAUGAAAUUCGGGUAUGACGGGGAUAGCUUGAUCGAGCGGUGUGCCGGUGCAACACCUUUGGUUGUUCCCCAUAUGUCAGUGUUUCCGUACAACAUACAGCUAUAGAGAUCACAAGACAUUUCAAUGGGGAUGACAAACACAGAAAACCGUGUCACCGAUGACACCCAAAGAUGUUGCACCGGUACCGGACGAAAUAUAUCUAAAAUGUGCGGCAUUUCAUACACCCAAUACUUCCCAAAUCUCGCUGAAUCUUGCUGAUUUUCACCUUUGCUUUUCACCAAUUAACAGAUUA